rnacentral:rRNA from 1 species
AACGAACGCUGGCGGCAUGCCUAACACAUGCAAGUCGAACGAGACCUUCGGGUCUAGUGGCGCACGGGUGCGUAACGCGUGGGAACCUGCCCUUAGGUUCGGAAUAACUCCCCGAAAGGGGUGCUAAUACCGGCUAAUGUCUUCGGACCAAAGAUUUAUCGCCUUUGGAUGGGCCCGCGUUGGAUUAGCUAGUUGGUAGGGUAAAAGCCUACCAAGGCGACGAUCCAUAGCUGGUCUGAGAGGAUGAUCAGCCACACUGGGAGUGAGACACGGCCCAGACUCCUACGGGAGGCAGCAGUGGGGAAUAUUGGACAAUGGGCGAAAGCCUGAUCCAGCAAUGCCUCGUGAGUGAUGAAGGCCGUAGGGUUGUAAAGCUCUUUUACCCGGGAUGAUAAUGACAGUACCGGGAGAAUAAGCUCCGGCUAACUCCGUG